UACGUAGGGGGCAAGCGUUGUUCGGAAUUACUGGGCGUAAAGGGCGCGUAGGCGGCACGGCAAGUCGGGAGUGAAAGGCCUGGGCUCAACCGAGGAACUGCUUUCGAGACUGCCGAGUUAGAGUGCGGAAGGGGCAACUGGAAUUCCCAGUGUAGCGGUGAAAUGCGUAGAUAUUGGGAAGAACACCGGAGGCGAAGGCGGGUUGCUGGGCCGACACUGACGCUGAGGCGCGAAAGCCAGGGGAGCAAACGGG
rnacentral:rRNA from 1 species